CAGAGGUAAUUAAUGAUAAGUCUUUGUGGAAGCUACACAUGAAUUAUAGGUAUUAUAUUUUUAAGUACGGGAGAAAGCAUACUCAAAAUGCAAAAACUUAAACACAAAAUUGAAAUAAAAUAUCUGCCCACCAUUUUGUGAAUUUACUUAAGGCUUAAUUUACAUGGCCUAAUGUAAAAUUCUAGUUCAAUUUCAAUAAAUGCAUACAGUACCAUGCUUCAUAUGUGAAAAUGGAUUCACUCCUAAAUAAUUUGGCUAAAACAAUUCCAAAAUGUUGAUCCCAGUCUUCUAAUGGACUAAUGUGCUAAUAUCACAGAUUUUUUUUCCUAUUCAGGAAACCUUCCCCAGUGGACAUUGGUGGUGACCUUUGAUAAGGAAUGAGUUGAAGCAUUGGGACCCUAACUUCUAGAGAUAAGUUAUCUACCAAAAGUUUACUUUUCGAGCCCUUCACGAAAAUUAUUCUACUUUAGGAAUUUGUCAUCACAUAGAAGAAGCCACCCACAAUGCUGCAGCUCUAUGGAAAGAGAAUUAGGAAUACCAGUAUCUUUGGGUCCAAAUCACACUAAUUUCACCAUGUUUUCUAAAAAAUGUAAUGCAUUGUUCUCCACCAUUAGCUCCUAUGUCUAAUCCUAAUAGAUGCUAAAUUCAAGAAAAAAAAGAAACACCAAAUCAGCCUGCUGCAGACAGGCAGUUCUGUGCAUGCCCUAC
rnacentral:lncRNA from 1 species